AUGGCUUCCUCAAAACACAUCCUUUGGAUUCUCCUUUUCUGGGUGACAGAUGCCCACGGGGACAUUACGAUAACUCAGACUCCGGAGUUCCUCUCUGUGUCUCCCGGGGAGAAAGCCGUUAUCCAGUGCAAAGCCAGUCAGGGUAUUGGUAAGGAAAUCAGCUGGUACCAACAGAAACCCGGACAACGGAUCAAGCUCCUUAUCUACGCCGCUUCCACUCUGGCCUCCGGAGUCCCCCCUCGGUUCAGCGGCAGCGGCUCAGGAAGUGACUAUACGCUCACCAUCAGCGGUGUGGAGGCGGAGGAUGCUGCAGACUAUUACUGUAUGCAUGAUUAUAGUACUCCGCGCACAGUGUUACAGACCCAUACAUAA